CCUACGGGUGGCAGCAGUGGGGAAUAUUGGACAAUGGGGGCAACCCUGAUCCAGCCAUGCCGCGUGUGUGAAGAAGGCCCUCGGGUUGUAAAGCACUUUCAGUGAGGAAGAACGCCUGAUGGUUAAUACCCAUCAGGAAAGACAUCACUCACAGAAGAAGCACCGGCUAACUCCGUGCCAGCAGCCGCGGUAAUACGGAGGGUGCGAGCGUUAAUCGGAAUUACUGGGCGUAAAGCGCGCGUAGGUGGCUUGAUAAGCCGGUUGUGAAAGCCCCGGGCUCAACCUGGGAACGGCAUCCGGAACUGUCAAGCUAGAGUGCAGGAGAGGAAGGUAGAAUUCCCGGUGUAGCGGUGAAAUGCGUAGAGAUCGGGAGGAAUACCAGUGGCGAAGGCGGCCUUCUGGACUGACACUGACACUGAGGUGCGAAAGCGUGGGUAGCAAACAGGAUUAGAUACCCUGGUAGUC
rnacentral:rRNA from 1 species